rnacentral:rRNA from 1 species
GGGAUUGCCCUAGUAACGGCGAGUGAAGCGGCAACAGCUCAAAUUUGAAAUCUGGCUCUUUCAGGGUCCGAGUUGUAAUUUGCAGAGGGCGCUUUGGUGUUGGCAGCGGUCCAAGUUCUUUGGAACAGGACGUCACAGAGGGUGAGAAUCCCGUACGUGGUCGCUAGCCCUCACCGUGUAAAGCCCCUUCGACGAGUCGAGUUGUUUGGGAAUGCAGCUCUAAAUGGGAGGUAAAUUUCUUCUAAAGCUAAAUACUGGCCAGAGACCGAUAGCGCACAAGUAGAGUGAUCGAAAGAUGAAAAGCACUUUGGAAAGAGAGUCAAAUAGCACGUGAAAUUGUUGAAAGGGAAGCGCUUGCAGCCAGACUUGCCUGUAGUUGCUUAUCUAGACUUUUGUCUAGUGCACUCUUCUAUAGGCAGGCCAGCAUCAGUUUGGGCGGUUGGAUAAAGGUCUCUGUCAUGUACCUCCUUUCGGGGAGGCCUUAUAGGGGAGACGACAUGCAACCAGCCUGGACUGAGGUCCGCGCAUCUGCUAGGAUGCUGGCGUAAUGGCUGUAAGCGGCCCGUCUUGAAACACGGACCAAGGAGUCUAACAUCUAUGCGAGUGUUUGGGUGUCAAGCCCAUACGCGUAAUGAAAGUGAACGGAGGUGGGAACCUUAGGGUGCACCAUCGACCGAUCCUGAUGUCUUCGGAUGGAUUUGAGUAAGAGCAUGGCUGUUGGGACCCGAAAGAUGGUGAACUAUGCUUGAAUAGGGUGAAGCCAGAGGAAACUCUGGUGGAGGCUCGCAGCGGUUCUGACGUGCAAAUCGAUCGUCAAAUUUGGGCAUAGGGGCG